GUCUUAAUAGUUUAAAACAAAACUUUGGUCUUGUAAGUCAAAAAUAACUUUGAAGUUUUAAGGCA
rnacentral:tRNA from 1 species